AUGAGGCUCCUCUGCCUGCUCGUGCUGCUGUUGCUAUGGACGGCAGUGGUGCGAGCAUCUGCAGGCACGCACGGAAGCCAGGCCGGGAACAGGAGUGCUCUUCCCUCCCUGGCCGGCUGCCCGAAGAGCUGUGGCAACCUCAGUUUCGACUACCCGUUCGGCAUAGGGCCGGGCUGCUUCCAGCCGCCACAGCAAGGCUUUGAACUCAUCUGCAAUAGAAGCACCCACGGUGCCUCGCAGCCCCCCAGACUCUUCCUGCGCGACGGCAUCACCGAGGUUGUCAAUGACAUCAGACCCGGCGACACAUCAGGUAUUGAUGUAUCGUUUUCCCAAUCCGUCUCCGUGAGACCUGAGGUGGAUGCAUACAACAUCUCCUGGAACCCUGGGAGAUCUCUCGGUAUCAAUUACAUAUAUUUAAACUUCACUGGUUGCGACUUCAACAUGUAUGUGCUCCAGCACGACACGAACAAGAUGGUGGGUCAGUGCAGUUCUACAUGCCCUGACGAAGAUAUCACAGAUACAGUGGCCAGGCAGGACUGCAACGGUACAGGAUGUUGCACUGCCGUAGGUUACUCUGAGUUGGGUGCCGGCUUGGACAUCAAGUUUGUCCGCCACAAGAUUGGAAAGCGGAAGUUCCAAUCGCAGAGUAACCGAAGCUCCAUAUGGGAUACAAUUAAUGUAGUAACCUCUGAUUACGCCUAUAUUUACUGGGCAAUCGCCGUUGAUGAACCUGGCACAGAUUAUGCAUGUCUCAGCAACCAUAGCAGUGGGCGAUUCGAUUCAUCUAACGUCACUUAUUAUUGUCACUGUGACCGUAGUUACCGAGGCAAUCCAUACAUAACCAAUGGCUGCUCCCGUGACAAAGGGUACCAUCCGAUACAACGGAAGACCAACUGCUCUAGAUGGUGUGGAGAAAUCAGUGUCCCUUUCCCAUUUGGCCUAGAGGAUGGUUGUUCUGCAAGGAUGUCAUUUCAGCUCAAUUGUACAAAUUCUUCUUUGUCUACCCUCCAGAUUCUUGACAUGAACUACAAUACAGAAGGGAUCACUUAUGUAAAGAAUAUACGUAUCAUGGAGGGGCUGAAGAGUACCUUUCGGUGAGUGUACCUCAAGAUCCAGGCCUCUAUGUUGCCUCCGCGGGUGUAGUACCACAGCAGUGGGCUGUAGCCAAUUUAACAUGCCACGAGUCACAGGAGAAUACGACCGGAUAUGCAUGUGUCAGCAUGAAUAGCACAUGCUUGGGUGUCAAAUCUGAACGAGAAUAUUACGGUUACCGUUGCACAUGUAUGGCCGGCUUCAAUGGGAAUCCAUAUAUUGCGGAUGGAUGCAAAGAUGUUGACGAGUGCGAGACACCAGGAACAUGUAAUGGGAUUUGCCAUAACACUAAAGGAAGUCAUUAUUGCACUGAAUGUCCUAGUAAUACAGUGUAUGACACUGCAACCAAGAUGUGCACACCGACCAAAAAACAAAAUCUGGUACUAGGUAUCGCCAUUGGGAUUAGCGUUGGUUUUGGAAUUAUACUUCUCAUGUCAAUUGUAAUAUUACUCAUCCGUAGAUGGAAAAAAGACAUCAAGAAGAAACUGCAAAGAAAGCAUUUUUGGCAGAACCAAGGUCUACUCCUCGAACAAUUGAUAUCGUCAGAUGAAAAUGCAAAUGACAACACUAAGAUUUUCUCACUAUCAGAGUUAGAAAAGGCAACAAAUUACUUUGAUCCCACACGUAUCGUUGGUCGUGGAGGGCAUGGCAUGGUUUAUAAAGGCAUCUUAUCCGAUCAACGGGUAGUGGCCAUAAAGAAGUCUAAAGUCAUUGAGCAAGUUGAGAUAAGCCAGUUUAUCAAUGAGGUUGCAGUCCUCUCCCAGGUAAAUCACCGUAAUAUUGUGAAGCUCUUUGGUUGUUGUCUUGAGAGAGAAGUCCCACUGCUAGUGUAUGACUUCAUCCCUAAUGGUUCAUUAUUUGGAAUCCUUCAUGCCAGUACCACUAGCAGCUCUAUCUUGUCAUGGGAUGAUUGUUUGAAAAUUGCUGCACAAGCUGCUGGAGCACUCUAUUACCUCCACUCAGCUGCUUCAGUAUCAAUAUUUCAUCGUGAUGUGAAGUCCACUAACAUACUCUUAGAUGGAAAUUACACUGCAAAAGUAUCAGAUUUUGGCGCUUCAAGGUUGGUUCCUAUUGACCAAACUCAUGUCGUUACAAAUAUACAAGGCACAUUUGGAUACUUGGAUCCAGAAUAUUACCACACUGGUAUGUUGAAUGAGAAGAGUGAUGUCUAUAGUUUUGGUGUAGUACUUGUAGAGUUACUGCUCAGAAAGAAGCCUAUUUUUACAAGUGACUCUGGGCUAACGCAAAACUUGUUCAACUACUUCCUUUGGGAGAUGAGAGAGAAACCACUUGCAGAAAUAGUAGCUACUCAAGUUCUCGAGGAAGCAACAAAUGAAGAGAUUAAUGAUGUCGCCAAUCUUGCGGAGACUUGCUUGCAACUACGAGGUGAAGAGAGACCUACAAUGAAACAAGUGGAGAUGAAACUACAGUAUGAGCGAUCUAAAAGGUUGAGAUCAUGUUAGGUUGUUGUCAAAAAUGAAGACAUGCAACCCUUGUUAAGUGGACAAAGCCAAGACUCUCUUCCGAAGUUGACUACUCCGAGUGGUAUAGUAGACAGAGUUAAUAUAGCUUCUCAAAGGAAUCAAAAUUGCUACAGCUUGGAGCAAGAGUUCAUGGCAUCGGCGACUCUCCCACGCUAG
rnacentral:rRNA from 1 species